rnacentral:rRNA from 1 species
CCUACGGGUGGCAGCAGUGGGGAAUAUUGCGCAAUGGGCGAAAGCCUGACGCAGCGACGCCGCGUGAGGGAUGAAGGUCUUCGGAUCGUAAACCUCUGUCAGCAGGGAAGAACGGUCACUGUGCUAAUCAGCAGUGAAUUGACGGUACCUGCAAAGGAAGCACCGGCUAACUCCGUGCCAGCAGCCGCGGUAAUACGGAGGGUGCGAGCGUUAAUCGGAAUUACUGGGCGUAAAGCGCUCGUAGGCGGUAUGUCAAGUCAAGGGUGAAAUCCCCGCGCUCAACGUGGGAACUGCCUUUGAAACUGGCAAACUGGAGUGUGUGAGAGGAUAGUGGAAUUCCAGGUGUAGGAGUGAAAUCCGUAGAUAUCUGGAGGAACAUCAGUGGCGAAGGCAGCUUACUAAACUGUGACUGACAUUGAUGCUCGAAAGUGUGGGUAUCAAACAGGAUUAGAUACCCCUGUAGUC